rnacentral:rRNA from 1 species
GACGAACGCUGGCGGCGUGCUUAACACAUGCAAGUCGAGCGCUGAAGCUCAGCUUUUGUUGGGUGGAUGAGUGGCGAACGGGUGAGUAACACGUGAGUAACCUGCCUCCUUCUUUGGGAUAACGCCCGGAAACGGGUGCUAAUACUGGAUAUUCACUGGUCUUCGCAUGGGGGUUGGUGGAAAGGGUUUUUCUGGUGGGGGAUGGGCUCGCGGCCUAUCAGCUUGUUGGUGGGGUGAUGGCCUACCAAGGCUUUGACGGGUAGCCGGCCUGAGAGGGUGACCGGUCACAUUGGGACUGAGAUACGGCCCAGACUCCUACGGGAGGCAGCAGUGGGGAAUAUUGCACAAUGGGCGCAAGCCUGAUGCGGCGACGCCGCGUGAGGGAUGGAGGCCUUCGGGUUGUGAACCUCUUUCGCUCAUGGUCAAGCCGCAACAAUGGUUGUGGUGAGGGUAGUGGGUAAAGAAGCGCCGGCUAACUACGUG